CUGCUUGCCAGUACUGCAAGUGAACAAAUUAAGCAUAAUGCUUCCAAAUAGUUGCUAUUUUAAUCGAGAUCUUAAAAAAGAAAGGUAGCAGCAGUGGUUGUUGGAAGCAAAUUUUAACUUCACUAAUGGUAAAUUAUCUUUUAGGGAAAUAAAUCAUAUGCUUUGUAUGGGCGUACUCUAUGAAGGUUUACAUCUCUGUAUGUUCAUAGGCACAGGGCUAGUGUGUCAAGAGAAGUGUAUUAAGCUGAGGAACAUUCCUAGAAAUACAAGAGAAGCAAAAAACUGUUUUCAAACUUCUAUUGGAAGUAAAAGCUUGAAGAACAUUUGGGCUAGCAAGAAAGAACUAUGUAUGCAACCUUUGUCACUCUAAAUUGGAUAGAAUGAAACUUUAGCAGCACAAAAUCAUUGGUAAAUGCCCACUGUCACUCAAGUCUGCAGUGUCAAAAUCCAUCAGGAAAGGAGAAAAAGCUCUAUGUCCUAAACAUUUUAUUUGACGGUGUCCCCCUGAGAAAGCAGGACUCUGAAAUAAACAUUUGGUUUUGCCUGUCUGCA
rnacentral:lncRNA from 1 species